GAUGAACGCUAGCGGGAGGCCUAACACAUGCAAGCCGAGCGGUAUUGUUUCUUCGGCAAUGAGGGAGCGGCGUACGGGUGCGUAACACGUGUGCAACCUGCCUUUAUCUGGGGGAUAGCCUUUCGAAAGGAAGAUUAAUACUCCAUAAUAUAUUGAACGGCAUCGUUUAAUAUUGAAAGCUCCGGCGGAUAGAGAUGGGCACGCGCAAGAUUAGCUAGUUGGUGAGGUAACGGCUCACCAAGGCGAUGAUCUUUAGGGGGCCUGAGAGGGUGAUCCCCCACACUGGUACUGAGACACGGACCAGACUCCUACGGGAGGCAGCAGUGAGGAAUAUUGGUCAAUGGGUGCAAGCCUGAACCAGCCAUCCCGCGUGAAGGACGACUGCCCUAUGGGUUGUAAACUUCUUUUGUAUAGGGAUAAACCUACCCUCGAGAGGGUAGCUGAAGGUACUAUACGAAUAAGCACCGGCUAACUCCGUG
rnacentral:rRNA from 1 species